rnacentral:rRNA from 1 species
UACAGGGGGGGCAAGCGUUGUUCGGAAUUACUGGGCGUUAAAGGGCUCGUAGGUGGCCAACUAAGUCAGACGUGAAAUCCCUCGGCUUAACCGGGGAACUGCGUCUGAUACUGGUUGGCUUGAAUCCGGGAGAGGGAUGUGGAAAUUCCAGGUGUAGCGGUGAAAUGCGUAGAUAUCUGGAGGAACACCGGUGGCGAAGGCGGCAUCCUGGACCGGUAGUUGACGUUGAGGAGCGAAAGCCAGGGGAGCGAAAGCGGG